rnacentral:lncRNA from 1 species
CAAACAUAAAUAAAGGCAACAGUAGUAUACCGCUGUUCAAAACUCAUAAAUCCAUGGACAAAAAACAAAAUCGGGGCAACAAACCAAAACCGAGGGAAACGCAUUAAAUAUAAGAGGAGAACAACGACACAACACCGAAACGCAACAGCACACAGAAACGGACCAAGCAACAGACAAUACACCACGAGAAUAACAAAUAUAACAUCAAAACCAAAUACAUAAAUAUGGGAUAGACAAGUACCGUGCCACGUCUUAUCUCAAAAUUAAGAGAAAACAGAAACGAC